rnacentral:rRNA from 1 species
AUGGCCACUGAAUUUUUCAAAGAGCUUUACAAGGCGGAUAACAAUCUAAAUCCAGAGGCAUUGCUCAACCUCUUUUCGGCCAAAGUGACACCUGAGAUGAAUGAUCAGCUAUGCAGUGAGUUUACUGAGAAAGAAAUUAGUGAUGCAUUAUUCCAAAUUGGGCGUUUAAAAGCACCGGGUGUUGAUGGUUUUCCGGCUCGUUUUUAUCAGAGAAAUUGGUCUUUUAUGCGGGAUGAUGUAGUUGCUGCAGUAAAGGAGUUCUUUGUGAAUGGAGUUAUGCCUGAGGGCAUAAAUGACACGGUCAUCGUUCUCAUACCUAAGGGUAACGCGCCGGAGUGCCUUAAAGAUUUUCGUCCAAUAAGCCUUUGCAAUGUCAUUUACAAGGUGAUAUCCAAGUGCCUCGUCAACCGAUUGCGGCCUUUCCUCGAUGAGCUUGUGUCUGAAAGUCAAAGCGCAUUUAUCCCGGGAAGGAUGAUAACUGACAAUGCCAGCAUCGCUUUCGAGUGCUUCUAUAAGAUCCAACAGAGCAAAAUCUCCCAGAACACUCACUGCGCUUAUAAGUUAGACCUGACCAAGGCUUAUGAUCGCGUCGAUUGGAAGUUUCUGGAAGGUGCCUUGUCCAAGUUUGGCUUCUGCCAAAAAUGGAUAUCGUGGGUUAUGACUUGUGUUCGCUCAGUGAGAUAUGCGGUGAGGAUGAACGGGGAAAUUCUGGAGUUCUUUUACCCUACGAGGGGCUUGAGGCAGGGUGACCCACUAAGCCCUUACUUGUUCCUCUUUGUGGCUGAGGGUCUCUCCAUGGCCCUGGAAAAGCAGUGUGAAGUUGGACACAUUACCCCAAUUAAAGUGGCCAGGGGAAGCCCAGGGAUCUCGCAUUUGUUGUUCGUAGACGAUAGUUUGCUCUUCUUCAAGGCUUCGGAAGCUCAAGCUCGAAGUGUGAAAGAUGCUCUAUCUUUAUUCCAGCAAGGUACUGGUCAAUGUCUUAGCCCCGGAAAAUGCUCUAUUUUGUUUAGUCAGGCGUGUCCAGAAAUGGUCAGGAAGGCUAUUUCUAGUACCUUGGAUAUUACAACUUCUACUUUUGAGGAGAAAUAUUUGGGCCUUCCAACCCCUGAAGGCCGCAUGAAAGGUGAACAUUUUCAACCCAUUUCAGCUCGUUUCACUAAAAGGCUUACAAACUGGGCUGAGAGGUUCAUGUCUCAU